GACGAACGCUGGCGGCGUGCUUAACACAUGCAAGUCGAACGGAAAGGCCCUGCUUUUGUGGGGUGCUCGAGUGGCGAACGGGUGAGUAACACGUGAGUAACCUGCCCUUGACUUUGGGAUAACUUCAGGAAACUGGGGCUAAUACCGGAUAGGAGCUCCUGCUGCAUGGUGGGGGUUGGAAAGUUUCGGCGGUUGGGGAUGGACUCGCGGCUUAUCAGCUUGUUGGUGGGGUAGUGGCUUACCAGGGCUUUGACGGGUAGCCGGCCUGAGAGGGUGACCGGCCACAUUGGGACUGAGAUACGGCCCAGACUCCUACGGGAGGCAGCAGUGGGGAAUAUUGCACAAUGGGCGGAAGCCUGAUGCAGCAACGCCGCGUGCGGGAUGACGGCCUUCGGGUUGUAAACCGCUUUCGCCUGUGACGAAGCGUGAGUGACGGUAAUGGGUAAAGAAGCACCGGCUAACUACG
rnacentral:rRNA from 1 species